AGAGUUUGAUCCUGGCUCAGGAUAAACGCGUGCGGUAUGCUUAACACAUGCAAGUCGAACGAAAUUUUUGGUUUACUAAAAAUUGAGUGGCGGACGGGUGAGUAACGCGUAAGAACCUACCUUUUGGCGAGGGAUAGCAACUGGAAACGGUUGAUAAUACCUCGUAUGCUGAGAAGUGAAAGAUGAAAAUCGCCAAAAGAGGGGCUUGCGUCUGAUUAGCUAGUUGGUAAGGUAAAGGCUUACCAAGGCUAUGAUCAGUAGCUGGUUUGAGAGGACGAUCAGCCACACUGGGACUGAGACACGGCCCAGAUCCCUACGGGGAGCAGCAGUGAGGAAUCUUCCGCAAUGGGCGAAAGCCUGACGGAGCAGUAUCGCGUGGAGGAAGACGGCUCGUGGGUUGUAAACUCCUUUUGUCAAAGAAGAAAACUGACGGUAUUUGACGAAUAAGCACCGGCUAAACUCUGUGCCAGCAGCCGCGGUAAUACAGGGGGUGCAAGCGUUAUCCGGAAUUAUUGGGCGUAAAGCGUUUUGAGGUGGGCCGUCAAGUCUGCUGUGAAAGAUCAGGGCUUAACCCUGAAUAUGCGGUGUGAUACUAACGGCCUUGAGUACGGUAGGGGUAGAGGGAAUUCUCGGAGAAGCGGUGAAAUGCAUAGAUAUCGGGAAGAACACCGACGGCGAAAGCACUCUACUGGGCCGAUACUGACACUCACAAACGAAAGCUAGAGGAGUGAAUAGGAUUAGAGACCCUAGUAAUUCUAGCCGUAAACGAUGGACACUAAUUGUUGAACGAAUAAAAAACGUGCAGUGAUGUAGCUAACGCAUUAAGUGUCCCGCCUGGGGAGUAUGCUCGCAAGGGUGAAACUCAAAGGAAUUGACGGGGGCCCGCACAAGCGGUGGAGCCUGUGGUUUAAUUCGAUGCAACGCGAAGAACCUUACCAGGACUUGACAUUUUACUUUUCUUCUUGAAAAAGAAGAUUUGUUGGCCUUUGGCCAAAGGGUAUAAACAGGUGGUGCAUGGCUGUCGUCAGCUCGUGCCGUGAGGUGUCGGGUUAAGUCCUUUAACGAGCGCAACCCUUGUCUUUACUUGGUUUACAAAGUAGAGAGACUGCCGGUGACAAACCGGAGGAAGGAGAGGAUGACGUCAAGUCAGCAUGCCCCUUACGUCCUGGGCUACACACGUGCUACAAUGGCCGGGACAAUGAGAUGCGACCCCGCGAGGGCAAGCCAACCUCAAAAACCCGGUCUCAGUUCGGAUUGUAGGCUGCAACUCGCCUACAUGAAGUCGGAAUCGCUAGUAAACGCCGGUCAGCCAUACGGCGUUGAAUAUGUUACCGGGCCUUGUACACACCGCCCGUCACACUAAGGGAGUUGGGUUGGUCCAAAGUAAUUACCCUAACCUUUUUGGAGGGGGAUUAUCACGGCCGAACUAGUGACUUGAGUGAAGUCGUAACAAGGUAUCCGUUCUGGAAGGUGAGGAUGGAUCAC
rnacentral:rRNA from 2 species